rnacentral:misc_RNA from 1 species
GGUUUUAUAAGAAUUGUUGAUAAGCAGAUGACUUAGCCUUUGAGGUAACUUUAGCCGUCCAUAUGAAAUUAACAGGAGGAAAAUAGCUGGAAUUAGAAAAGAAGCAAGUAAUGCUAAGAAUGAUUUACAUGAUAAUUCCACAUCCGCUUAUAUAGCCCUUGGAAGAAAUGAAUAGAAGCAAGAAGAUUCAGUUAUAUAAUAAGCUAUGACACUUCUUGCUUAUUGAAUUUCUAAAGGAAUGGAAAUUCCUAGAAGCACUGGAUCCAUCCAAGACACAAAAACUAGGAAUGGUUAGAUGAUUGGAAUUAUAGAGAAUUCAAAGGUUAGGAAAUUAUAGAAAAGCGAGCUUCCCCUUCCCUAAGAUUCUUCCUGAUGUAAAUCGGGAAACUAUCACCAACUUAAAAGAACCAGUGGGCUAAUCGGAGGUUAUCUUAUAUCUGAAAAAUGAAUUUACAAUGGCUUGCAUGAGAAAUGUUGAUUCCCUUCCAUGUGUCUCACAUAUUCUACAAAAGGCGAUACCUACUUCUAAUUAAUUUAUGUCAAUGGAGAGUGAUUUUAUUGGAAAUUUCCAUGGCCACUUUCAACUCAAACAAAAUUUUUUCUAGACACCAAAUUAUCAAGAACCAAACCUCUAUCAGACUUGGCUUUACACUUUACACCAUAUUUUCAAACUCACAUGACAAGAUAAUUCCACUUAUUCUCUCUAAUACCAAACCAUAGAAAAUCAUUCUAAUUUUCUGAAGUUCUUUGGCCACCACCUCAAGAGGAAUUAUAGACAAAGAAAAUAACAUUGUAAGGAGGAUAGGAAAUUUUGAAUGAGAAAUAUGUGACAUUCUAAAAUAUGGAAGGCCCUCUUCCAUCCAUAACUACUCAAGAGACUUCAUUGGAUGUAGGAUCCAAAAGAAAAGACAACAUUAAUUAU